UGAUGAGAUGGUAGCAAGAGGUUUCCGACAUUUUGGGCCCAUGAUGUCGAAAAGUUCGUUCUUGAAGAAAGAAGAACGAAACUAUCAUGGAGGUUUUACAACCAACUAGCUUAAUAUGGACCGUGUUUCAUACCUGCAAAUCGACCGUAUGUUCUGCAGUUGUACCACGUUGCAUCCAGGCAUUUUUAAGGAAAAAUCUAUUGCCCCGCAGAAUCCGGGGGGUAAUAGCAUUUUGUCUAUUGCCCCCCCGGAAUCUGUGGGGCAAUAGGCGUCACCCAUGUUUAAUGUAAAGCUGUUUGCUUUGGGUGAAAUUUAUGCAGUAUAAAGUUCUGGAUGAUAAAAUUGCAUUUGGGAUGUGACCCAAACUACUGGAUCUCUGUCUCGCAAUGACAUCUGGCAAAGGUUUCCUGUUGCUGAUGUGCUAGCCAUGAUACUGACAGAUCUUUGUAAUAUUUUUAGAAGAAGCACGAAGUGGAGCUUUUUGGAGGUAGCUUAGACCACUUGCGUUUAAACCCAUGAUGUUCUGUAUAACCCCUGGUUACACAGAACCCGACAAAGAUAUCAAAGCUGUCUUCAACAUGAAAGGACAUGGUAGAAGAAUUACCAACUGUUGGGCGGUCAGCUGUAGGUGUUUGUUACGAAAAAGUACGAAAAUCAAACAAUGAUGGUCGCUAUGGUGGUUGUCCCGAAAACUCAGCCGAAUGCGAAGCUCGUUAAGAAGCAGCGUACUACUUCAUGAGAACCACGAAUUAUGCACACCGAGGCCAAACAGUAAGGGCCUCUAGGGUAAUUAUCUAGACAGAAUGUCGAUCAACUCGUCGUUACUGUCUGAUAUUAACACAUCUGCGAGCAAGGACCUUUACGGGCUAUGGGAUCCUCAAAACGUAUGACAACGAGCCCAUAUUCAAGUUGUAGCUCGAAAGUUCUACAACUAAUGUUUUCCCUGAACAUCAAUGCAGCAUGGAAUGCUUUACAGAUGCCUAAUGCGAGAUGUGGAAAAUGCUUGACAGAAUGUGUAGGCUAUUUUGAUUAGACACAUUGGUACCUAAGGUUUCUUGUGUUGGGUACAUCAAAGCAGAAAUAAUUGUACUACAAAAAAUGUGCAAGGCAUGCUGGUCUGUUCUUCACAAUUAUGAGAGCUUUCAACUCCAUCUAUCUAAAACCUCCUGGCCUUUGGUCUUAUUAUUUGACCAGCUAUUGCAAAUCAAGUCGAGGUUAGUUUCAAAACGAAGAGGAAAGAAUACUAUAGAAUUUGUGGUGUUUGCAUCAGCAAUGGACCCUUCUUUUAUUUCAGAAUUGCAAGGCUUUUGCGGUCCAAUCUGAGUGAAAACUGCUGUGUAACUUAUUACAUGAGGAACUGGCGAUUUUUGGAGAUGGUUACACCUGAUUAAAUUCUUCUGAAAGAGAAGCAUUUGCCUAUGGAUAAUGGUAACCCCAAGUGCGUCAAAACUUCGUUCCUAAAAAGAAGUUUCUAGUACCUGGCCAAGGAAACAGUUUUUAGCCUUAUUAUAUGACAAACCUUCCGAAGUCGCACUAAGUUGAAUUUAUUAAUGAAGGGGAAAGAAAACUUCAAAAAAAAUUGGAGCUUUGCAUUGUCGAAGAAUUUCUAUUGGGUCGGAUUUCAAAAGUGCUAGCCUUGGGCGUUAUUAAAUGUUCAGUCGUCUAUGGUUCUUCAAUAAUUUGUUCCACGUGCUAUUGCGUGACUAUUGUUAGAAUUUCGCCAUCCAAGUUAUGAGGAAACUCGUGUAGCUUCUCAAUUCAUGAUGAACAAAGGAUUCGCGAUCGCCAUUGGAGAUGUUGCAUUUGAAGAAGCAGAUGAGGCAGGCAAUAGUUAUCUGUUGCUGUACAGUGCGCUCGCGGCCUCUCCGGUGUUAGCAGUGCAAUUGGCACAUGAAACGAUGUUUCAACGAAUACGAAUGCAGUCGUCUUUCGGUUCAGCGUUGGAUAAGGAAAUAUGCAACGGUUAUGAUGUGUCCGGCAGUAUGUUCCAUUACGAUCGCCGUAACGGAACACGUUUUACGUAAUUUCGUUUUCUAUGUCCGGACAUUGGAAACAUUUUAGGUGAUAUUCUUUGUUUGUUGCUCGUGCUGCCACAUGAAACCUGUCGUUGGCUUAUUUUGAGAAAAUGUGCAUGUCCUAUAUCGUUCUUUGUACCAUAUUA